rnacentral:rRNA from 1 species
GAUGAACGCUGGCGGCGUGCCUAAUACAUGCAAGUCGAGCGAACUGAUUAGAAGCUUGCUUCUAUGACGUUAGCGGCGGACGGGUGAGUAACACGUGGGCAACCUGCCUGUAAGACUGGGAUAACUUCGGGAAACCGAAGCUAAUACCGGAUAGGAUCUUCUCCUUCAUGGGAGAUGAUUGAAAGAGGGUUUCGGCUAUCACUUACAGAUGGGCCCGCGGUGCAUUAGCUAGUUGGUGAGGUAAGGGCUCACCAAGGCAACGAUGCAUAGCCGACCUGAGAGGGUGAUCGGCCACACUGGGACUGAGACACGGCCCAGACUCCUACGGGAGGCAGCAGUAGGGAAUCUUCCGCAAUGGACGAAAGUCUGACGGAGCAACGCCGCGUGAGUGAUGAAGGCUUUCGGGUCGUAAAACUCUGUUGUUAGGGAAGAACAAGUACAAGAGUAACUGCUUGUGCCUUGACGGUACCUAACCAGAAAGCCACGGCUAACUACGUGCCAGCAGCCGCGGUAAAAC